GUCAUAUGCUUGUCUCAAAGAUUAAGCCAUGCAUGUCUCAGUGCAAGCCGUCCGCUAUUUGUUUAGUACACGGUGAAACCGCGAAAGGCUCAUUAAAUCAGUUAUGGUUCCUUAGAUCGUGCCCACGUUACUUGGAUAACUGUGGUAAUUCUAGAGCUAAUACAUGCCGACAGAGUUCUGACCAGCGCCAAGCGGGCGCGCACAUAUACGAGCCGCCGCGCGAACGUGCGCGCGUGCACAGCGGUAGCGGGUGUGGUGUUAUCCACCACCACCGCUGCUCUGUGCGCGCACGCGGCGUCGUCGUCGACGGCGGCCGUGUAGUGCGCCGCGUGUCUUCGGAGUUUGGAAGGAACGCUCUUAUUAGAUCAAAACCGGCCAAGCGGGGCCGUUGCUUAACGCGCGUUCGCGUGAGCGUGUGCGGGGGUGUGUGUGUGUGGUGCCGGGUGUAUGCGCGUGUACACGUUUGCGCGUGUACCCGUAUUGCACGCGCGCAUGCACACGCACACGCGCAUCCGCACACGUGUACACGCACGCGCGUCUUCGUUCCCCGUAAGUGGCCCGCGCAAAGACUUGACGACUCUGAAUAAUUUCUAGCUGAUCGCACGGUCGAAACGUGUUUUUUGUAUUCAUCGCAAAUGAAAACCAGCACCGGCGACGUAUCUUUCAAAUGUCUGCCUUAUCAACUGUCGACGGUAGGUUCGACGCCUACCGUGGUGGUAACGGGUAACGGGGAAUCAGGGUUCGAUUCCGGAGAGGGAGCCUGAGAAACGGCUACCACAUCCAAGGAAGGCAGCAGGCGCGCAAAUUACCCACUCCCAGCUCGGGGAGGUAGUGACGAAAAAUAACGAUACGGGACUCAUCCGAGGCCCCGUAAUCGGAAUGAGUACACUUUAAAACCU
rnacentral:rRNA from 1 species